GUGCUUACUUUGGCAACACAUAUACUAAAAUUGGAAUGAUACAGAGAUUAGCAUGGCCCCUGUGCAAGGAUGACAUGCAAAUUUGUAAAGCAUUCCAUUUUUUU
ensembl:snRNA U6 U6 spliceosomal RNA